rnacentral:lncRNA from 1 species
CGGACUUCAAGGAAAUGGAAGGAACCAGGAUCUCUAAGCAGACCCCCUUCUGCUCCCUUAGGGCUGUUGAGUUUAGAGCUAAUGAUGGGAUUCGGUUGGGGCGAGGGGGUCUCCACAUCUUUUUGCCCAACCCUUUGCUAAGUCAAGGAACUCCAGUCUGGGAUUACAGGCAUGAGCCACCAUGCCUGGCAAUUUUGCCAUCUUUUAUCAGGCCUUCUGUGUCGAGGACGCUACCCACAUAGAGUAGAAGCUAAAGGGAAGGGAUGUGAAGUGACCUCACCCUCAGCUUCUAGCUCAUGGUGUCAAGGCUUGUGUGACCUUAGACACGUCUGCCUCUUCUGAGCCUGUUUCUUCAUCUGUAAAACAGGGAUGGGAGGUUGUGGUAAAGAUUCCACAGCAACACUGCACACGCAUGAAGUACCUGGGCCAGGGAUGACUCGGCAGACCUCAGUUUCCCUCUGCCUCCUGCCUAGAGCUGUUAGCAAGCAUCCAUCAUGCGGCUCACACAAGAGCUCCCCCCGGAGGUUACAGAAAUGAAGGCAGCAGCCCCAGUCCUUGGGUAGCCUGUUGCCCCUUGAAGGAAACAGACUCAAUAUCAGCAACACAGAGUGAAUGACGCCAGGGUGGCGAACGGGCCUUUCCUGGAGCAAAUGCGGGAGGCUUCAUGGAGAUGACGUGUAAUGAACAGCACUCAUCUCAGGCUGGGAGCAGCACAUGCCCCCGGCAGGGAGUCAGUGAUGAGGUAUGGGGUUCUUGACAUCUUCCUCACCCAGGACCCUUCAGAGAGUACGAGCCAGGGUUUGAGUGAAGGGCCUGAGCCCAGCACAUGCAUGGUAGGCACUCAAAGAAUAAUUGUCAUGAUCAGGUCCUUUUUACACUGCUUACUAGU